rnacentral:lncRNA from 1 species
UGAGACCAUCUAACUGGCCCUGACCCUUUGGGAUAUUGGAAGGUUCGCUGGAGAGCUGUCAUUUCAGCUGAAGACUGGAGGUUAAGUGGGAGGCAUUACAUCCAGUAUUGUCACAGGAAGAACGAAGGCACUGGAGAGUCUUCAGGGAGAACUCACUAUGGAACAAUGGAACUCAUGAUGAUUCUAGGGCAUUCUAUAAGGAGGGAACUAAGAAAAGGGACAUCAUAGGAGCCAGGAAAAUGGACCGCAACAAUGAUCAGCUGUUUUUUGGAAAAACAAAAAGCCCAAGGUGAGCAUCCAUAGCACAUGACUUGGUUCUGCUGUGAGUAAUAUUUAUUCAGUC